rnacentral:rRNA from 1 species
UGGGUGACCUGCCCUCAGCUCUGGGAUAAGCCUGGGAAACUGGGUCUAAUACCGGAUAUGACCUCUCAUCGCAUGGUGGGUGGUGGAAAGUUUUUUCGGCUGGGGAUGGGCCCGCGGCCUAUCAGCUAGUUGGUGAGGUAACGGCCCACCAAGGCUAUGAUCUUUAGCUGGUCUGAGAGGACGAUCAGCCACACUGGGACUGAGACACGGCCCAGACUCCUACGGGAGCAG